ensembl:lncRNA
AUGGUGGUGGUGGUGGUGGUGUGGGCUACCAUGGUGGUGGUGGUGGUGGUGGUGGAGUGGGCUGCCAUGGUGGUGGUGUGGGCUACUAUGGUAGUGGUGGUGGUGUGGGCUACCAUGGUAGUGGUGGAGGUGUGGGCUACCAUGGUGGUGGCGGUAUGGGCUACCAUGGUGGUGGUUGUGUGGGCUACCGUGGUGGUGGUGGUGUGGGCUACCAUGGUGGUGGCGGUAUGGGCUACCAUGGUGGUGGUUGUGUGGGCUACCGUGGUGGUGGUGGUGUGGGCUACCGUGGUGGUGGUUGUGGUGUGGGCUACCAUGGUGGUGGAGGUGUGGGCUACCAUGGUGGUGGUGGUGUGGGCUACCAUGUUGGUGGAGGUGGUGUGGGCUACCACGGUGGUGGUGGUGUGGGCUACCGUGGUGGUGGUUGUGGUGUGGGCUACCAUGGUGGUGGAUGUGUGGGCUACCAUGGUGGUGGUGGUGUGGGCUACCAUGUUGGUGGAGGUUGUGUGGGCUACCACGGUGGUGGUGGUGUGGGCUAACGUAUUGGUGGAUGUGUGGGCUACCGUGGUGGUGGUGGUGUUGGAUAUUCCGUGGUGGUGGUGGUGUGGGCUACUGUGGU